rnacentral:rRNA from 1 species
AUUGAACGCUGGCGGCAGGCCUAACACAUGCAAGUCGAACGAGUGGCGGACGGGUGAGUAAUGUCUGGGAAACUGCCCGAUGGAGGGGGAUAACUACUGGAAACGGUAGCUAAUACCGCAUACCAUCGGAUGUGCCCAUAUGGGAUUAGCUAGUAGGUGGGGUAACGGCUCACCUAGGCGACGAUCCCUAGCUGGUCUGAGAGGAUGACCAGCCACACUGGAACUGAGACACGGUCCAGACUCCUACGGGAGGCAGCAGUGGGGAAUAUUGCGCAAUGGGCGCAAGCCUGAUGCAGCCAUGCCGCGUGAAUGAAGAAGGCCUUCGGGUUGUAAAGUUCUUUCGGUGGCGAGGCGUUACUCACAGAAGAAGCACCGGCUAACUCCGUGCCAGCAGCCGCGGUAAUAC